CACAGAUAAAGGGGCAAGACGAUGGGGGCAUUUGUCAUCAAAAGCAACCCAUUGGGAAGUGGACUUGUCGUACCAGAGCACGAUUUCACGACCCAGAAGCUGAAAAGGUGUGGGUAAGAGAGGGUUCAGAUCCUCAAUUAACGAAACAGGGUACCAGUGAUCCCUCCAAGUGAACUUAGAGGAAGAGCUCUCCUCGUUAAACUCUUCCUCAUUCUCCUCCUUUUCGGUUUCAGGGAACGACUGAUCGGUUUCAACCGUUGAGGGUGGCGCCGCAACGCGUGCAGGGGUAAGCAAAGGGCUUCUUCCGCUUCUGGGUCGAGUUUCUUUCGUGAAAAAUUCGGUACCCUUGUUCGAGAAG
rnacentral:lncRNA from 1 species